CAGAAAUGUCAGUCGUCAGAUUGUUUACGAAGUGGUUUGUAUUGGUUUAUUUAUUUUUGGGCAGACUGAGAUAAGUCAUCGUGACAUGACAUGAUUGGACAUGAUAACGUGAACCAGCAAUGGCUAAUGAUUCAUUUUCAAAUUAAAAUGUUAUCUAAAAAAGGUUGAAGUAGAAGAGCCGGAAAAAAACACCAUGGCUGAGCAGGGCACUACAGUGGAGCUGUACAUAUAUGAUCUUACUAAUGGACUUGCCUCAAUACUCUCACCCUCUAUACUGGGGCGUCAGAUCGAGGGAGUCUGGCACACUGCCGUUGUGGUGUAUGAUCGGGAGUUCUUCUACGGCGGAAGCGGUAUCACGAGCUGCGCACCGGU